AUACAGCUGUAGAGUCUCAAAUAGAACGAAACGCGCGUCCUGGAU
rnacentral:hammerhead_ribozyme from 1 species